AAGGUAAUUCCCCUCUUUAAUCAUGUUUCUUAUCCUUUAAAAUAUAUCAAUAAUUUUUUUAUUAUUCCAAGUUUUGCUUGUGUGCCUAUUUUGAUGAAUGGCUUUAUUUUUUCAGUCCUUAUUUGUCGCUUAGAAUUUUGCAGGAUGGUGUCCGUUGUCAUGUAUUGUCUGAAUUGUGCAAAUUAAUGCCUGUAAUUUUUCAUUUUAUUGUUUGCAUUGGCAAGGAUCCAAGUCAGUGAUAAGUUGGCGUGGGGUGUCGACCAUGUUUUAUGCUGACACUUAGGGGAUGAUAUACAGGUUUUCCCCAAGCUUUUUUUGAGCUUGGAUUUGCAUUGGUUAUUUGUCAUGUUAUGCGUGGGAACCAAAUCCCCUAGGUGUCAUGUUUUAACAUGAAUGAUCUGUUUGAAGGUUUCUGAGGUUUUCUCUAAACCUGGAGGUCUGUGUUGGGAGGUUGGCCUUGGUGGAAUUGAUGGAAAUUCCUGUCGAGUGUUGACUUUGGCGAUUCUUUCUGUAAUGUUAUUGCGUGUUUUUUAUGGAAAUGGCAACAAUCACAAACUGGUGUUUAGUUCGUCUGUGAGGGGCGAUGUAUACAGAGUUGUUAAGUAAUGAUGGCCUUACUGUUUCUGGAAACAAUUUCCGCAGAGUUCGAGGUGUGGAUAUGAAGAAUGAUUUCGCCUUUGUUGUAAGUUGUCAUCUAUUCUUGUCUUUAUUUGUUUCAUUUGACUUCAUUUUCUCCUCAUGCCUUUGCUCCAAGGUGGCUUAGUAUCUGCCUUUGCUCCAAGGUGGCUUUUAGUAUCUGCUCUGAGGAAUUCAGUUGUAAAUGGUGGUAAGCUGUGUUACUUUAUUGUCUUGUUCCUGACAUAUUUUGAACAGGAAUUUAGCGAUCCUCGAGAUGCUGAUGAAGCUAGAUAUAACUUGGAUGGUCGUGACGUUGAAGGAAGUCGUAUUAUUGUGGAGUUUGCCAAGGGGGUAUGAAUUUUCCCUUCAUGGUAUUAUCUGCACAAGAAUAUUCUUAUAAUUGAUUUUCUCGUUUGUCGGGUGUCCGUUGGGUCCAACGAUUCCAAUAUUUCUCUGCCUUAUUUUAAUGUGGGUGGUAUUUAACUUUUUUGAAUACCUAUUUUAGUAUUUAAAUAUUUUUGUUCUUUGACUUCGUAGUUGUGUCAUCAGCCUAUUCAUUUUUUGUAUAUAAAUUCUAGUACAAGAAUAAAUUUUAAUUAAAUGACAAUGUCUCUUAUGUUUACCUUUUUCUGAUUGACUUUUAUUACUUUACUAAUUGUUUUCUUCAAAACUUAAUAAACAGAUAUUCAAUCUUUUCGUGACCCUGUCAUUUUGUAAUUUCAUUGCCAGUGUUCAUUGACUAGUGUGAGCACAUUUUGAUACAUUGCUUGUUAAUUUAUUUUGUCAUCUGAUAUUUGAUUAAUCAGGGUCCUCGUGGUUCCCGGGAAUACAUGGGUCGGGGUCCACCGCCUGGAUCUGGACGAUGCUUUAACUGUGGCAUUGAUGGUCAUUGGGCUCGUGAUUGCAAAGCUGGGGAUUGGAAGAAUAAGUGUUACCGCUGUGGGGAAAGAGGUCAUAUAGAGAAGAACUGCAAGAACAGUCCCAAAAAACUGAGGUAGGCAUGAUGUGGUUUCCAAACUUAUUGUACGUGUGUUUUUAAUUUGGUUGUUACUUUCUAAUGGAAUUCAUGAGCUUUAAACUAAUGUUUCCGAAUUGAAUAUUCGCAGCAGCAGACGUGGACGCAGUCGUUCUCGAUCACCUGUGAGGUCACGUUCUCCUCGUCGUGGGAGAAGCAGGGAUAGAAGCUACAGCCGUGACCGAAGCUACAGGUUGGAUUCUUGGUUGUUUCUAAUCUUUAUGGUAUCAAUGAUACUACAAUUUCAGUUAAAUAGUAUGUUGUUUCACUAGUCAGCUGUUUAUGUGCUGAGUUGCACUUUUGUUCUGGCCAGUCGAUCGAGAUCUCCUCCUGUUAGGAGAGAACGUAGCCCAGUUUCUGAAGAUAGAUCACGGAGUCCUCAGCCCUCCAAAAUAAGGAGGCAUAGUGCAUCGCCUGACCGAGGCAGCCCCCAGAAGGGAGGUGUCAGAUCUCCUGGUAAUGAUAGGUUGGUCAAUCAGCGAGAUGGGUCUGAAUACAGUGAUGGUUCAAGAGGGAAAAGUAGAAGCCCUGCAAGGGACCGUAAUGUGCGGGGCUAUGAUAGCCCUAAAGCUAAUGGACGUAGUGGCAGUCCCAGCCGUAGUCCUAGGGAUGAUGACAGGAGCCCCAUUGAUGAAGAUGAUGACAACCACCGCCGCUCACAGUCACCUUAGAAAGUACUUUCUGAUAAAUGAGGUCAGGACGGGGUCCAGUUUGUAUCUUGAAUGCACUCCAAUUAAUUCUGUGACUAUUGUUUAUGAAAACGGUUUUAUGUGUGCAUGCUAUAUUUCAAAUUCAUGUUGGUCAAGCAACAUGUGUUGCUUGCUUACCUUACAUUGAAUAUGGAAUGCAUGAAUUUGUUUCAAGUGUUGGGAUUAUUUCAAGCAUAAGUAUUUUGAGAAAUUUAAAUCUUGCAUGCUUUGCAUCUUUUAAACUUAACUUAUACAAGCCUUUUCUAUUUAUUUUCAUAUUUUUGAUAAUUACUGUUAUAAUCAAAACAGUGUUACGUGAAACAACCGAUUAAUCGAGUUUGACGUCAAUAGUUAGCGCAUUGGAUUGUGGAAGCCAUUCAUGCAAAGUUUAUCGAAUUCGUCUUCGAGAGAAUUUGUGAAGUCAUUGUUCAUUCAUUAUCUGGAGGUUUAAAAAAUAGUACGAUGCUUGAUUGUUAUUAUUUCUUAUGAAAACUUUCUCACCUUGGAAUAACUAGAUAUUCAUCGUUUCGAAGUAAAGCUACGGUGGACUUGACCAUGUGAUAUACGGGAACUAAUUUUAUAUGCCAUUAUAUUCAUCUUGUCGUUGCCGUUACCAAAGGCACUCUCCACCGUUAAACGUUCGCCCUCUUUCGCUAUCCUUAUCCGCAAUCAUCAUCAUCCACCAUCUGUGACAUUGCCUAAGGUUAGUGCGUUUUCCACACCAUCAACCUCUAUUGGAAUCGGAAAACUUGUGACGCAGAACAAGGAGCGGUGCGUAUAUGUCGGUAACCGUAGUGUAUGUCAGGAUGUUGUUAUUGCCCCCCACUUAAGAUAAAUGACAGAUAAGUCACCAUGCAUGAUGAGUUCAACAACGAGGUUGAGGAUCACGUUGGGAUCCAAGGGAGGUACUUCUUGAUGGUGAAAUCGACAUUGAAUGAUGUUUUCACUAAAGUUUAUUUCUUUUCAUUAAUCUAUUUUUGGGUUUAGUUUUGUAAGUCUUGGAUUCAGUCGUACAUAUACUUGUUAGGGAUGGAGGUAUGAAAGUAGAGAAGGGGAAAAUCAAUUGCAGUGAUAGCGAAGGAUAGCAGAAGAAAAAGGUGGAGGCUCGGGGAAGGAACACUGUUGCCGACAAUCGUCUCCGUCGACAUGGAAAAAUUUGUUGCACGAAUUGUGUAAACAGACAUAUCACACAAACGAUUAAUCUAAUGGUUUAUAACAAUGAAAUACGUGAACCACCUGUCAUACUGGUUUACUGUAGCCUUUGCCAUCAUUUCAAGUUCUACUUUUUAAAUUAAAGCAGGUUUUUGGAGGUAUUUUUUUGUUAUUUCUUGUCUUUAUUUUAGUUAUAAAACCGGUUCUGCUUAUUAAUGCUUUAAGGAAGUGAAUUGAUUAUUGGAACACUUCUGGAAAUUUCGUUGAAGGACGUCAUAAUUUUUUAACAAUUUUUUCGUUGAUAAUGGAAAAACAUGACGACUGACAAUGAGAGAAAAUUCUUAAGAAACGUUGGCUAUAAAGAAAUGAAGGUUGAGAGGGACAUUUGAAUAUAAAAGAGUCAAAAGUUUAAAGUGAUUUGUUUUUCGUGCAAAACAACAAAGUUCUCAAGCAUCAAAUCUUAUCUUAUGGCAAUAUCUUAUCAGAGAUGAAACGUAAGUUGCCUAAAUAUAAAUCUCUCGUAUAUGCAUAUUGAAAAUUUCCUUUUAUGUGAUAUUUGUUUUAAAAUAUAAAAAAAUCAACUGUAAUACUCAAUAAAUUUGGUUACGAUGAAAAGGUUUUGAAGCAUCGACCAUUAAGAGGAAUGUUGAAAAUUCAACCUCAUAAUUAAUUAUACAAAGUUAACAUAUAAUGAGUCGAUAUAAUAAAUUUUAUUUAUUUUACAAAAUGAUUCAUCUAUAUAAUUAUAUAUAUGAAUUUUGAAUUUGUAUCCAAGAAUUUAGAGAUAUGUUCAUAACCAAAUACAAUUAUAAAAAAAUAUUUAACUAUAUCUAAAUAAUUCAGAUCUAUCUAAACAACUUAGAUAAGCAAAUAUUAGACUGGAAAAUAUACAAUAUUAGACAUAUACUUAUAUAACUAAUUAUGCUUGUUUGGUUAUUAAGUAUUUAUUCUAAGAACCUAAAAAUUUAUAAGUACAUGAUAACAUCAACGAAAUUGGUCACUCAUCCUUUUCCACUUAAUACACUGAUACAUUGAUAUUUCCGUAAAAUUCUUAUAGAUUCGAACAUUAAGAAUAUUUUGCAGGUGGAUUACUGCUAAAAAAACUUUUUUCACUUAGGAAAAUGAUACAUUAAAAUUUUAUCUUUUUAUUCAUUGUUUGUGCACAUGUACUCAUUGGAUUGAUACAUCAAGAUAAUAUAGCAACCAAAAUUACCGAAUUUCCUAUUUUUAUUAUAUAUUGAAAAUUGUAAAAAUCAACCAGUAGAAACAAAAUUUAAAACUUAUUUAUAUUAAGUAAUAAGAUAAAAUUCUGCAAUAGUUAGAAUUUAAUAUUGUAUUUAAUUAGGAAAAUCAUUGUUUUUUAUUCAUUUAAAAAUAAUAUCUGUUAAAAUAAACACGAAUUUUUUUUUAUCUUAAUUUUAAUAAAAUAUUAACAUACUAAUUAUCAAUACGAUUGUAUUUAAUGUAACAAGGCGUUGGGUGUAAUAUUUAUUCUAAAUUUAUGUUUGAAAAACUAGUUGAAAAAAUUAAGUAGAAGCUGAAAAGAGUAGUUAUUAGUAACUGAUAGAGUUAAAGUGUUAAACUAGCUUAUUAAAAAGUAUUUUGGUAAAAUUAUUAUUCAAAUAGUUAAGAAAAGUAAAAUACUAGGAAUAUACACAUUAAAAUGAAAUUUUACACAAAAUUCAAUUUAUUGAUAAAAAUAUAUUUUAGAAUAUUUAUAAUUUUAGCGUUAAUAAAUUUAAACUUUUUAUCUUUUAUUUACACACACAAUUUAAAUUUGUAUACUUUUAAUUAUUAUAUUCUUUUUCGUAUUUUGUUUUAUACUAGUUCUCUUUCAUUAAACUAAAAUUAAAAUAUUAAAUUUUAAGUGUGCUUUGUACUUAAAUUUAAUUUUAAAAAUUAAUCAGUACAAUCCUUAAAAAAUGGUAUAUCAUAAAAAACUGUAACAUGUCUAAUGUUAAAAUAAUAAAAUAAAACAAAAAAUAAUUUAUUAUUAUUAUUAUUAUUAUUAUAUUACAAGAUUAAAAGAAGAUUUUAAUAAAUAGUUUAGAGAUUAAGGGUGAAUGAAUAUAAAAAGUUAGAAGUUAAUGUCUCACAUUCUAAAUUUUUUUGAAUUAUAUAAUUUAGAACUAAAAAUGAAUAUCCAUUUAAAAUGUAUCGAGGUGCAUGUUUAAAUUAUGGGAGUGCAGGAUGCAUUAGCAUUUGUCCUUUCAUGUUUAUUUUUCAUGAAAAGCCCAAUUUCUGGCCCAAUUAACAAAAAGAAUGUAUAGAGAUAUGUGGCAGAGGUCUUCUAUAAAUCAAUCAUCGGAUAGUAGCCGAUCUACUUUGAAAGGGUUAGGUUUGGACAAAAACAUCAAUCCGCUCCGGGGUAUCCUUUCUAUUCCCUCUAUUUCUUCCAAUUGUUUGAUUCGCCUUUUCCACUUUUGGUGCUAGUCUCUAUUGGAAUUUCUCUCUGGAUGUUUCUCUUCUCAUCAAUUUCUGAUUUAAUAAUUUACCGAUUUGUUUGUUUUCUGCUAAGUAGGUUUUUGAAAUUGACCAAAUGUUUGAAAUUCAAUUAUUUUUUCCAUAAUCCAUUCCCCUUUAUUUCAAUUUCAGAUUUUUGUUUCUGCUGAGAGAAGGGGUCUGUGUGACCGCUUUCAUAAUUAACCCCGAAAUUUCAUUUUGUUUAUUUUGCAGAACUAGAAGCAAUCAACGAUGCCUCGCUAUGAUGAUAAAUAUGGCAAUACACGCCUGUACGUGGGACGCUUGUCUCAGAAUACCCGUUCCCGUGAUCUGGAGCGUGUUUUCGGCAGAUAUGGAAGGUAAUUCCCCUUUUUUUAAUCAUUAAUUCUUAUCUUUCGAAUUAUAUAGAGAACCAUAGACUUGAUUAUUUUUCUACGCAACCUCAGCCAUUUUCAAAAGCAAUGUUAUUUACAUGCAAGUUUUGAGAUUGCGGUUGUGGAUUCAUCGCGAUUCUUCAUGUUACAGAAAAUUUCAGACAAAUAACUGUUAUUACAGUGUUGAGGCCGACAACACAGUUUGGGUCCGUCUUUUAACUACCAUGCUUACUUGUAAAGGGGCUAUUUGACCUUUUAAUUUUUAACAUGUUUUUGUUGUUAUUCCAUGCUUGUUUGUUUGUCUAUAUGGAAGAUUGGCUUUGUUCUUUAGUACUUCAUUUCUUGCUUAGAGUGGUCAGGAUGUUUUACGUUGUUUUGUCCUAUCUAUUUAAUGUUUAAAUUGCUUGACUUUUUGUAAUUGAUGUUUGGAAUUGUGUGAUUCAUCUUUAUUGUUUACAUUGGCUAGGGAGUUAAGUUAGUGAUUUGUUGCCGUCGGCUGUCGACCUUGUUUUAUGCUGAAACUUAGGGUGGUGAUGUACAGGUUUUAUCUGAGCUUGGAUUUGUAUUGUUAUUUGUCAUGUUAUGCGUGGGAACCGAAUCCCCUAGGUGUCAUGUUUUAACAUGAAUAAUCUUGUUGAAGGUUUCUGUGGUUUUCUCUAAACCUGGAGGUCUGUGUUGGGAGGUUGGCCUUGGUGGAAUUGAUGGAAAUUCCUGUCGAGUGUUGACUUUGGCGAUUCUUUCUGUAAUGUUAUUGCGUGUUUUUUAUGGAAAUGGCAACAAUCACAAACUGGUGUUUAGUCCGUCUUUGAGGGGCGUUGUAUACAGUUCCAGUAGUUAAGUAAUGAUGGCCUUACUGUUUCUGGAAACCAUUUCCGCAGAGUUCGAGGUGUGGAUAUGAAGAAUGAUUUCGCCUUUGUUGUAAGUUGCCACCCUAUUCUUGAUCUUUUGUCUAUUUCUUUUGACUUCCAUUUCUCCUCAUGCCUUUGAUCCAAGGUGGCUAUUAAUGUCUGCUCGGAAGAAUUCAGUUGUAAAUGAUGGUAAGAUUCUGUUACUUUAUCGGCUUGGUACUGACAGCUUUUGAACAGGAAU
rnacentral:lncRNA from 1 species